rnacentral:rRNA from 1 species
CCUACGGGUGGCAGCAGUGGGGAAUAUUGGGCAAUGGGCGCAAGCCUGACCCAGCAACGCCGCGUGAAGGAAGAAGGCUUUCGGGUUGUAAACUUCUUUUGUCAGGGACGAAGCAAGUGACGGUACCUGACGAAUAAGCCACGGCUAACUACGUGCCAGCAGCCGCGGUAAUACGUAGGUGGCAAGCGUUAACCGGAUUUACUGGGGGUAAAGGGCGUGUAGGCGGGGCUGUAAGUCAGAUGUGAAAACCACGGGCUCAACCUGUGGCCUGCAUUUGAUACUGUAGUUCUUGAGUACUGGAGGGGCAGACGGAAUUCCGAGUGUAGCGGUGAAAUGCGUAGAGAUGAGGAGGAACACCAGUGGCGAAGGCGGUCUGUUGGACAGCAACUGACGCUGAGGUGCGAAAGCGUGGGGAGCAAACAGGAUUAGAUACCCCAGUAGUC